UCCCUGGUGGUCUAGUGGUUAGGACUUGGCGCUUUCACUGCUGAGGCCAAGGUUCAAUCCCUGGUCUGAGAA
rnacentral:tRNA from 1 species